GCACAAGUGUGGUGUAGUGGUUUGAGUAAUAGACUAUGAUUCUGAAGAUGAGGGUUUGAAUCCCUCCUUAGACA